rnacentral:miRNA from 1 species
UUCAACUAAAGUCUAAUUU